AGCGAGUAAGACAGACUCUUCAGUCUGAUACUGCCGAAGCGAGUGAAUACUGUUUGAGCAUGCAGGUUA
rfam:Havel river tombusvirus strain S coat protein and movement protein genes, complete cds; and unknown gene.